AACGAACGCUGGCGGCAUGCCUAACACAUGCGAGUCGAACGAGACCUUCGGGCCUAGGUGCGCACGUGUGCGUAACGCGUGGGAACCUGCCCUUAGGUUCGGAAUAACUCCCCGAAAGGGGUGCUAAUACCGGAUAAUGUCUUAGGACCAAAGAUUUAUCGCCUUUGGAUGGGCCCGCGUUGGAUUAGCUAGUUGGUAGGGUAAAAGCCUACCAAGGCGACGAUCCAUAGCUGGUCUGAUAGGAUGAUCAGCCACGCUGGGACUGAGACACGGACUAGACUCCUACGCGAGGCAGCAGUGGGGAAUAUUGGACGAGGGGCGAAAGCCUGAUCCAGCAAUGCCGCGUGAGUGAUGAAGGCCUUAGGGUUGUAAAGCUCUUUUACCCGGGAUGAUAAUGACGGUACCGGGAGAAUAAGCUCCGGCUAACUCCGUG
rnacentral:rRNA from 1 species